CACGUAGGGUGCGAGCGUUGUCCGGAAUUAUUGGGCGUAAAGAGCUCGUAGGCGGUGUGUCGCGUCGGCCGUGAAAACCUGCAGCUUAACUGUGGGCUUGCGGUCGAUACGGGCAUCACUGGAGUUCGGCAGGGGAGACUGGAAUUCCCGGUGUAGCGGUGAAAUGCGCAGAUAUCAGGAGGAACACCGGUGGCGAAGGCGGGUCUCUGGGCAGUAACUGACGCUGAGGAGCGAAAGCGUGGGGAGCGAACAGG
rnacentral:rRNA from 1 species